UACGUAGGGUGCAAGCGUUGUCCGGAAUUAUUGGGCGUAAAGAGCUCGUAGGCGGUCUGUCGCGUCGGCUGCGAAAACCCGAGGCUCAACCUCGGGCCUGCAGUCGAUACGGGCAAACUAGAGUACUGCAGGGGAGACUGGAAUUCCUGGUGUAGCGGUGAAAUGCGCAGAUAUCAGGAGGAACACCGGUGGCGAAGGCGGGUCUCUGGGCAGUAACUGACGCUGAGGAGCGAAAGCGUGGGGAGCGAACAGG
rnacentral:rRNA from 1 species